UCUCUGUUAGUAUAUCGGUUAGUACACGCGCUUGUCAUUUGAAAUGAUCGCGCGAAAGCGGGGUUCGACUCCCCGACAGAGAG